GUACUGCAGAGGAGUUCCAGAAUGGAACGAAACGGCCAUCCAGUAC
rnacentral:hammerhead_ribozyme from 1 species